GGAUGUAGCUCCAUUGGUAGAGUGCCUGCCUCACAUGCAGAGAGCUCUGGGUUCAAUCCCCAGCACCA
rnacentral:tRNA from 1 species